UACGGGGGGAGCAAGCGUUGUUCGGAUUUACUGGGCGUAAAGGGCGCGUAGGCGGUCAGCACAAGUCAGUUGCGAAAUCUCCGGGCUUAACUCGGAAAGGUCAACUGAUACUGUGCGACUAGAGUGCAGAAGGGGCAACUGGAAUUCUCGGUGUAGCGGUGAAAUGCGUAGAUAUCGAGAGGAACACCUGCGGCGAAGGCGGGUUGCUGGGCUGACACUGACGCUGAUGCGCGAAAGCCAGGGGAGCGAACGGG
rnacentral:rRNA from 1 species